rnacentral:rRNA from 1 species
CAAACUGAAGAUGGCGACCGGCGCACGGGUGAGUAACACGUAUCCAACCUGCCGAUAACUCCGGAAUAGCCUUUCGAAAGAAAGAUUAAUACCGGAUAGUAUACGAAUAUCGCAUGAUAUUUUUAUUAAAGAAUUCGGUUAUCGAUGGGGAUGCGUUCCAUUAGUUUGUUGGCGGGGUAACGGCCCACCAAGACUACGAUGGAUAGGGGUUCUGAGAGGAAGGUCCCCCACAUUGGAACUGAGACACGGUCCAA